AUUGAACGCUGGCGGCAUGCCUUACACAUGCAAGUCGAACGGUAACAGGUCUUCGGAUGCUGACGAGUGGCGAACGGGUGAGUAAUACAUCGGAACGUGCCUAGUAGUGGGGGAUAACUACUCGAAAGAGCGGCUAAUACCGCCUGAGAUCUACGGAUGAAAGCAGGGGAUUGCAAGACCUUGUGCUACUAGAGCGGCCGAUGGCAAAUUAGGUAGUUGGUGGGAUAAAAGCUUACCAAGCCGACGAUCUGUAGCUGGUCUGAGAGGACGAUCAGCCACACUGGGACUGAGACACGGCCCAGACUCCUACGGGAGGCAGCAGUGGGGAAUUUUGGACAAUGGGCGAAAGCCUGAUCCAGCAAUGCCGCGUGCAGGAUGAAGGCCUUCGGGUUGUAAACUGCUUUUGUACGGAACGAAAAGCCCCGGGUUAAUACCCUGGGGUCAUGACGGUACCGUAAGAAUAAGCACCGGCUAACUACGUGCCAGCAGCCGCGGUAA
rnacentral:rRNA from 1 species